CUUUCAGCAUGGCACGUACCUCAGGUUGCUGCAGGCACUUUUACACCUUUUCACGGACAAAAUAAGGAAGCAGCACCUUAGAGGAGUUCCUUGUGAGGACAGACCAUAUAUGGGCGCGUUCCGGGGAUCGUAUCAGCAAGAAGCGCAGGCAUGAAUGAACGUGCCUGCAGGACGAAUGAACUCUAAGUGCAUGCUGGAUAAUGAAGCAGUUACACAGGCCGAACCCCGCCAGAGGGCGGAGAAUAGGGUGUUUGCUGAGGUGCCAGCAGGUGGUGCAGUCACACCCACAAACAUACACAACUGAAAGAAGACGCGUCACCUGCUUGUGUUUCACUGAAGAGCUAUUUUAUUGCAUCAGGCAUUUUUUGAAUUCCUGUUUGCAGACAUUGACUUAUUAACCACAUACACGGUGGCUCUAAAAAUGUCUGGACAUAUAAGUCUCGCGUAAAAAUGUCUGAAUUUAUUGCAUUUGCAUUCCAUUUUACUUUUCACUUGUUUUAAAAUAGUGUGUGAAUGCAUGAAGUCAGUUCCCAGUAAGCUAACAUAACCUAACAAACCUCCUAUAUAUUUCAAAUCUGUGUAUCUUGAAAUAUAUAAAGCAUCUGUAAAAUAAAAUAGAAAGAAAAAUAUGAAUAAAGUAAAAUAAAAUAAUAAAUAAA